CGCUCUCCGCCCCCAGCCCUCUCCCGCCAGCGCCCUCCCCGCCCCGCUUCCAGCACGGUCCCUAAAGGCGCGGACGACUCAAGCCGGCAGAGCCGAGCGUAGAGAUCCCCACCUCGCCCCACCGCCCCAGUUUACAGAUGGGUAGACCGAGGCCGGGAGCACCUCGUAACUCCGCAAGGCCACGGGCUAGACAGUGGCAGAGCCGACGUCUCCUGUACGCUCUCCACCCCCACCCCUCUAGAGGGAGUUUAUUUUAUUCCAAUCUAAAAGUUCCCCCCUCCGCCCCCAACCUACCACCCACCCCCAGAUCCGCCGGAAAAGUAAACUGUGGCUGGAGAGGAAUCUGGGGUGUGUGGGGAGCGGGGAGGCAGGGAGCGGGAAGGAUGGAUGUAAUCAGUGGGCCUGAACUUCAUUCCUGCCCACGGGCCAAGAGACCCUUCCCUGCAGAAGUUCCAAACUAGGGGUUCUUAGAACUAGCUUCCCCACUCCCACCUCAACCUUCCCUUAAAAAAAUAAAAAGGCUGGUUUCUUCCGGGCCAGAUCUUGGCCACUUAAAAUGGUCCACUGCCUUCUCUGCUCCCGCCAAGGCCUUUCCUGACUCGGGGCCAACCCUCCCGGUACGACAUGCCCCGGCAACCAAGUCCUGGCCUGGGAGCCCACCCUCAGCCCCACUUCCCAACCGCAGACUAAGGCCAAGAAAGAGGUUAUAUCAUGAACCCAUGACCUGACUCCAGACAAUGAUUUUGCCAUUCCAACUUCAGAGGAAGCUUUGGAAGGAGUUUAAACCAUAAGCUUACCCUCUCAAUCAUCCACUACCCCAAGGACAGAGGUGGGAAAACUCAAAGGCACAGGCUGUACUGAGAAGUUUGAGCAAUGGAGAAGAAAGUGGAGCUCUGACUGACCUUAGCCCACCACAGUCAGGCUCCAAGAGGGGAGAUGGCCUGGGCUGAUGGCUCCCUUUCCUCUGCUGGCCCUUCCCUUUUGGGAAAACCCCCAUGUCAGAAAAGUCUCAAGUCUGUCAGACUGGGAGUCCCCAACUCCCAACCCAAGGAAGCAGCCCUAGGAAAGGAGAGGAUGAGAUUUCCCAAAGCUAUCUCUUACCACUUCCCUCCCCCAAUCUCAUCCCUCCAUCUAUUGGUGAGAAGCCUCCUAAAGUUGGCCUGAGGCUCCUGAGGGACUGGUUCCACCGGAGUCUUUAACCAGGACCCUAUCCUCCUUGGGACCUGCAAUAGAGAUAAGAAUCAGAGUACAAUCCUCAAAUAAUUCCCACAAAUUUGGAGCUGAUUCUUAACUGAAAAGAAAGAAAGAAAGAAAGAAAGAAAGAAAGAAAGAAAGAAAGAAAGAAAG
rnacentral:lncRNA from 1 species